GACGAACGCUGGCGGCGUGCUUAACACAUGCAAGUCGAACGGAAAGGCCCCUUUGGGGGUACUCGAGUGGCGAACGGGUGAGUAACACGUGAGUAACCUGCCCUUGACUUCGGGAUAACUUCAGGAAACUGGGGCUAAUACCGGAUAGGAAUCCUUGCUGCAUGGUGGGGGUUGGAAAGCUUCGGCGGUUUUGGAUGGACUCGCGGCUUAUCAGCUUGUUGGUGGGGUAGUGGCUUACCAAGGCUUUGACGGGUAGCCGGCCUGAGAGGGCGACCGGCCACAUUGGGACUGAGAUACGGCCCAGACUCCUACGGGAGGCAGCAGUGGGGAAUAUUGCACAAUGGGCGGAAGCCGGAUGCAGCAACGCCGCGUGCGGGAUGACGGCCUUCGGGUUGUAAACCGCUUUGAGCAGGGGCGAAGCUUGUGGUGACGGUACCUGCAGAAGAAGCACCGGCUAACUACGUG
rnacentral:rRNA from 1 species